rnacentral:rRNA from 1 species
UACGGAGGGGGCAAGCGUUAUUCGGAAUUAUUGGGCGUAAAGGGCGCGUAGGCGGCCAACUAAGUCAGACGUGAAAUCCCCAGGCUCAACCUGGGAACUGCGUCUGAUACUGGAUGGCUUGAAUCCGGGAGAGGGAUGCAGAAUUCCAGGUGUAGCGGUGAAAUGCGUAGAUAUCUGGAGGAAUACCGGUGGCGAAGGCGGCAUCCUGGACCGGCAUUGACGCUGAGGAGCGAAAGCUAGGGGAGCAAACGGG